UAGCAUAUCAAUAAGCGGAGGAAAAGAAACCAACAGGGAUUACCUCAGUAACGGCGAGUGAAGCGGUAACAGCUCAAAUUUGAAAUCUGGGUCUUUCAGGCUCCGAGUUGUAAUUUGUAGAAGAUGCUUUGGGUGCGGCCCCGGUCUAAGUUCCUUGGAACAGGACGUCAUAGAGGGUGAGAAUCCCGUAUGUGAUCGGUGGCUUGCGCCCGUGUAAAGCUCUUUCGACGAGUCGGGUUGUUUGGGAAUGCAGCUCUAAAUGGGUGGUAAAUUUCAUCUAAAGCUAAAUAUUGGCCAGAGACCGAUAGCGCACAAGUAGAGUGAUCGAAAGAUGAAAAGGACUUUGGAAAGAGAGUUAAACAGUACGUGAAAUUGUUGAAAGGGAAGCGCUUGCAACCAGACUUGCGCGGGGUUGAUCAUCCGGGGUUCUCCCCGGUGCACUCGGCCUCGCUCAGGCCAGCAUCGGUUUCGGUGGUUGGAUAAAGGCCUUGGGAAUGUGACUUCUUUCGGGGAGUGUUAUAGCCCUCGGUGCAAUGCAGCCUACCGGGACCGAGGACCGCGCUUCGGCUAGGAUGCUGGCGUAAUGGUUGUAAGCGACCCGUCUUGAAACACGGACCAAGGAGUCUAACAUCUAUGCGAGUGUUUGGGUGUCAAACCCAUACGCGUAAUGAAAGUGAACGGAGGUGAGAACCCUUAAGGGUGCAUCAUCGACCGAUCCUGAUGUCUUCGGAUGGAUUUGAGUAAGAGCAUAGCUGUUGGGACCCGAAAGAUGGUGAACUAUGCCUGAAUAGGGUGAAGCCAGAGGAAACUCUGGUGGAGGCUCGCAGCGGUUCUGACGUGCAAAUCGAUCGUCAAAUUUGGGCAUAGGGGCGAAAGACUAAUCGAACCAUCUAGUAGCUGGUUCUGCA
rnacentral:rRNA from 1 species